UGUACCACCUUGUCGGAUAGCUUAUCAGACUGAUGUUGACUGUUGAAUCUCAUGGCAACAGCAGUCGAUGGGCUGUCUGACAUUUUGGUAUC
ensembl:miRNA Mir21a microRNA 21a